rnacentral:tRNA from 2 species
AGGCCCAUAGCUCAGUUGGUAGAGCGUUUGCCUUACAAGCAAAAUGUCAUCGGUUCGAGUCCGGUUGGGCCUA